UUGGGAAUAUUGGACAAUGGGGGAAACCCUGAUCCAGCAAUGCCGCGUGAGUGAUGAAGGCUUUCGGGUCGUAAAGCUCUUUAAGCAGGGAAAAAGGGAAACUUGAUGGUACCUGCAGAAUAAGCACCGGCUAACUCUGUGCCAGCAGCCGCGGUAAUACAGAGGGUGCAAGCGUUGUUCGGAAUCAUUGGGCGUAAAGCGCGUGUAGGCGGUCUUCUAAGUCUGGUGUGAAAGCCCUGGGCUUAACCCA
rnacentral:rRNA from 1 species